rnacentral:rRNA from 1 species
GGGCGCAGCCUGAUCAGCAUGCCGCGUGAGUGAAGAAGGCCUUCGGGUUGUAAAGCUCUUUCAGUCGAGAAGAAAAGGCUGCAGUGAAUAACUGUAGUUUAUGACGGUAUCGACAGAAGAAGCACCGGCUAACUACGUGCCAGCAGCCGCGGUAA